CUCCGGUUGAUCCCGCCGGACCCGACUGCUAUCAGAGUGGGACUAAGCCAUGCGAGUCAACGCAGCAAUGCGUGGCAUACGGCUCAGUAACACGUAGUCAACAUGCCCAGGGGACGUGGAUAACCUCGGGAAACUGAGGAUAAACCGCGAUAGGCCAAGAUUUCUGGAAUGGAUAAUGGCUGAAAUCUAUAUGGCCCCUGGAUUGGACUGCGGCCGAUCAGGCUGUUGGUGAGGUAAUGGCCCACCAAACCUGUAACCGGUACGGGCUCUGAGAGGAGGAGCCCGGAGAUGGGCACUGAGACAAGGGCCCAGGCCCUAUGGGGCGCAGCAGGCGCGAAACCUCUGCAAUAGGCGAAAGCUUGACAGGGUUACUCUGAGUGAUGUCCGUUAAGGGCAUCUUUUGGCACUUCUAAAAAUAGUGUAGAAUAAGGGGUGGGCAAGUCUGGUGUCAGCCGCCGCGGUAAUACCAGCACCCCGAGUGGUCGGGACGAUUAUUGGGCCUAAAGCAUCCGUAGCCGGUUCUGCAAGUCUUCCGUUAAAUCCACCUGCUCAACAGAUGGGCUGCGGAGGAUACUACAGGGCUAGGAGGCGGGAGAGGCAAGCGGUACUCAGUGGGUAGGGGUAAAAUCCUCUGAUCCACUGAAGACCACCAGUGGCGAAGGCGGCUUGCCAGAACGCGCUCGACGGUGAGGGAUGAAAGCUGGGGGAGCAAACCGGAUUAGAUACCCGGGUAGUCCCAGCUGUAAACGAUGCAGACUCGGUGAUGGGUUGGCUUCGAGCCAACCCAGUGCCGCAGGGAAGCCGUUAAGUCUUCCACGUGGGGCGUACGGUCGCAAGACUGAAACUGGAGGCAUUUAGGGGGGGAGCA
rnacentral:rRNA from 1 species